rnacentral:rRNA from 1 species
GUGAGGAAUAUUGGUCAAUGGGCGGGAGCCUGAACCAGCCAAGUCGCGUGAAGGAAGAAGGAUCUAUGGUUCGUAAACUUCUUUUGCAGGGGAAUAAAGUGCAGGACGUGUCCUGUUUUGUAUGUACCCUGAGAAUAAGGAUCGGCUAACUCCGUGCCAGCAGCCGCGGUAAUACGGAGGAUCCGAGCGUUAUCCGGAUUUAUUGGGCUUAAAGGGUGCGUAGGUGGUUUGAUAAGUCAGCGGUGAAAGUUGGAAGCUUAACUGUAAAAAUGCCGUUGAAACUGUCGGACUUGAGUGUAAAUGAGGUAGGCGGAAUGCGUGGUGUAGCGGUGAAAUGCAUAGAUAUCACGCAGAACUCCGAUUGCGAAGGCAGCUUACUAAGCUACAACUGACACUGAAGCACGAAAGCGUGGGGAUCAAACAGGAUUAGAAACCCUGGUAGUCC